UGUCCUUCCUUCCCCACAGGGCUGAUGGCGGCCGUGACGUUGGACGAGUCUGGGGGCGGCCUCCAGACACCCGGAGGAGGGAUCAGCCUCGUCUGCAAGGCCUCCGGAUUCACCUUCAGCAGUUUUGAGAUGUACUGGGUGCGACAGGCACCUGGCAAGGGGCUGGAAUUCGUUGCAGGUAUUGAGAAUGAUGGUAGUAACACAGAAUAUGGGGUGGCAGUGGAUGGCCGUGCCACCAUCUCGAGGGACAACGGGCAGAGCACAGUGAGGCUGCAGCUGAACAACCUCAGGGCUGAGGACAGCGCCACCUAGAGAUGGCUGUGACUGUG